AUACAGUAUCGGCCGCCUUGAAACAGACUUUUUAUCCGACGGACUUUGGAACGUGUUUACCGAGCAUCGUUCAACGCCUUAUGGUCUGCGAGAUCGAUGUAAUUCUUGUUCGUAACAGAUGUUCCAUGUAACGGAACUUCUUCUGAGUUUAACGGGAUCGAAUGAAAAAAUGUAUAGCGAAACGUGAACAUCAUUCUGGAAUCAUACAAUCGGAGAUAGGUAACCUUGGACAGGUGAAAAUCGACAUGCACAUUGACCUGAAUUGGAGAACUCGAUAAAAGGGAC